rnacentral:lncRNA from 1 species
UUUUAUUCAAUUUUUCAUUUUUGUUUUGUUAGGGUUUGCUUAGGGUUUUGAAUCUUGACCUUAUGGUUUUGAAUUCUAACUUAGUUGUUUUGAUUCUAACUUUGUUUUCUUUAUGAUAGUUUAAUCUUUUAUUGAGUUCAAAAGUGAUUUAAUUUCUUCAAGAGUGAUUAAGGUUAAUAUUUUCAACAUAGGUUCAUGAUUUAAAUCGCAG